GAGAGGCUGAGCUUCAUUUUCUGUCACCUCCUACAUCUGUAGUGCCAGCUUUCUGGCAAGGAGAAGACUUAGACAUCCAAAUCUCUUCAGCAAGAAAUAGGACGUGCACUGCAGCUACAGCUCUCUAUAAAAGGUCACAUUUUAUGGAAAAGUUACUUCGUUCUGAAUCUAACAGGAUACCUGUGUAGGAGGUGUUGGGAAGCUUGAAAAUGUUUCCAUAGAUACAAAACAGAGCCAUAGCAGCAGCUUUCAGCCAGGCCAUGGUAUCUCCAUUGGUGGUAAUUGACACAGCUCCACCGGUAUCAAUGGAACUGCAUGAGCUUAUGAACUUUCAUGGUGCUUCUAGAUAACAUUUUAAGGUAAGAGAAUGCACAUGCUUCAGUUCAUAUCUAGCCAGUCUGCCAAGCUUUAUUUAGUUAUCUGCAAUGCAUUUAUUACAUAAAUGCUUGGCAUUAUGGAUUGCUGAGCUUAGUAGAAUUCAUACUUAGUAAAAAGUUACUUGCAGCGAAGAAAAUGAGAAUAAACAUGAAGUUAGGAUACCUGA